rnacentral:ncRNA from 3 species
UACGAAGGUCCCAAGCGUUGUUCGGAAUCACUGGGCGUAAAGGGAGCGUAGGCGGCGUGGUAAGUCAGAUGUGAAAUCCCGGGGCUCAACCCCGGAACUGCAUCCGAUACUGCCAUGCUUGAGGGUUGGAGAGGUAGCUGGAAUUCUCGGUGUAGCAGUGAAAUGCGUGGAUAUCGAGAGGAACACUCGUGGCGAAGGCGAGCUACUGGACAACAUCUGACGCUGAGGCUCGAAGGCCAGGGGAGCAAAAGGG